rfam:Glycine max cultivar Williams 82 chromosome 12, whole genome shotgun sequence.
UGGCUUAUGAUGAUCAUAUAAUUAUCUUAGCGGAUUUCAGUGAGAUUUCUAUCAAUGAUCUGAUUGUUACACACACUGAAGCCU